GACGAACGCUGGCGGCGUGCCUAAUACAUGCAAGUUGAGCGCUGAAGGUUGGUACUUGUACCAACUGGAUGAGCAGCGAACGGGUGAGUAACGCGUGGGGAAUCUGCCUUUGAGCGGGGGACAACAUUUGGAAACGAAUGCUAAUACCGCAUAAAAACUUUAAACACAAGUUUUAAGUUUGAAAGAUGCAAUUGCAUCACUCAAAGAUGAUCCCGCGUUGUAUUAGCUAGUUGGUGAGGAAAAGGCUCACCAAGGCGAUGAUACAUAGCCGACCUGAGAGGGUGAUCGGCCACAUUGGGACUGAGACACGGCCCAAACUCCUACGGGAGGCAGCAGUAGGGAAUCUUCGGCAAUGGACGAAAGUCUGACCGAGCAACGCCGCGUGAGUGAAGAAGGGUGUCGGAUCGUAAAACUCUGUUGGUAGAGAAGAACGUUGGUGAGAGUGGAAAGCUCAUCAAGUGACGGUAACUACCCAGAAAGGGACGGCUAACUACGUG
rnacentral:rRNA from 1 species